AGCUUUUCGAUGUUAGUAAACUACCUUCAACAUUUAAGUAGACGUAAAAGGUGCUCUAAUAAAACUAAGAUUACUUCGUCUUUCAUAUUUAAAUGUUAGUAUAUCGUAUCUUCUAUUCUAUCAAAUAUAUCUAUGUUGUAACCAAAUUGAUCAGCAUUCGAUUAUCGAUGUUAGUAGAAAAAACUUUAAAUAAAUCUUUGAAUAUUUUAACAGUACUAUCAGUUGACUUUAAAUAGCUUUUCGAUGUUAGUAAACUACCUUCAACAUUUUAGUAGACGUAAAAGGUGGUCUAAUAAAACUAUGAGUACUCGGUCUUUCAAAUUUAAAUGUUAGUAUAUCGUAUCUUCUACUCUAUCAAAUAUCUCUAUGUUAUUACCCAAUUGACGAACAUUCGAGUAUCAAUGUUAGUAGAAGAAAGUUUAAAAAAUACUUUGCAUAUUGUAAGACACUUCUAUAAAUUGACUUAAAAUAGCUUUUCGAUGUUACUUAAACACCUUUUACACCUUAGUAGACGUAGAAGGUGGUCUAAUAAAACUAUGAGUACUCGGUUAUUUAAAUGUUAGUAUAUCGUAUCUUCUACU